GACAGAGGAUGCAAGCGUUAUCCGGAAUGAUUGGGCGUAAAGCGUCUGUAGGUGGCUUUUCAAGUCCGCCGUCAAAUCCCAGGGCUCAACCCUGGACAGGCGGUGGAAACUACCAAGCUGGAGUACGGUAGGGGCAGAGGGAAUUUCCGGUGGAGCGAUGAAAUGCAUUGAGAGUCGGAAAGAACACCAACGGCGAAAGCAACUCUGCUGGGCCGACACUGACACUGAGAGACGAAAGCUAGGGGAGCAAAUGGG
rnacentral:rRNA from 1 species